rnacentral:tRNA from 1 species
GGAGUUGUGGCUCAGUGGUAGAGUACUUACCUAGUAUGUGUGAGGCCCUGGGUUUGAUCCUCAGCACCA